rnacentral:tRNA from 1 species
GCCCACGUCGUCUAGCGGUCAAGACCCCGGCUUUUCAACCCGGGGAGGCGGGUUCGACUCCCGCCGUGGGUA